rnacentral:rRNA from 1 species
CCCCAGCGCCACAAGUGGGAGCCACAUUUAUUGGGCCUAAAGCGUUCGUAGCCGGUCUGGUAAAUCUUUUGUGAAAUCAUAAGGCUUAACUUUAUGGAUUGCGAGAGAGACUGCCAGACUUGGAACCGGGAGGAGUCAGAGGUAUUCCGGGGGGAGCGGUAAAAUGUUAUAAUCCCCGGAGGACCACCUGUGGCGAAGGCGUCUGACUAGAACGGAUUCGACGGUGAGGAACGAAAGCCAGGGGAGCGAACCGG